rnacentral:rRNA from 1 species
AUUGAACGCUGGCGGCAGGCCUAACACAUGCAAGUCGAGCGGAUGAAGGGAGCUUGCUCCUGGAUUCAGCGGCGGACGGGUGAGUAAUGCCUAGGAAUCUGCCUGGUAGUGGGGGAUAACGUCCGGAAACGGGCGCUAAUACCGCAUACGUCCUGAGGGAGAAAGUGGGGGAUCUUCGGACCUCACGCUAUCAGAUGAGCCUAGGUCGGAUUAGCUAGUUGGUGGGGUAAAGGCCUACCAAGGCGACGAUCCGUAGCUGGUCUGAGAGGAUGAUCAGUCACACGGGAACUGAGACACGGUCCAGACUCCUGCGGGAGGCAGCAGUGGGGAAUAUUGGACAAUGGGCGCAAGCCUGAUCCAGCCAUGCCGCGUGGGUGAAGAAGGUCUUCGGAUUGUAAAGCACUUUUGGUGGGAAAGAAAAGCAGCAAGUUAAUACCCUGCUGUUCUGACGUUACCCAAAGAAUAAGCACCGGCUAACUUCGUG